GACGAACGCUGGCGGCGUGCUUAACACAUGCAAGUCGAACGGAAAGGCCCUGCUUUUGUGGGGUGCUCGAGUGGCGAACGGGUGAGUAACACGUGAGUAACCUGCCCUUGACUUUGGGAUAACUUCAGGAAACUGGGGCUAAUACCGGAUAGGAGCUCCUGCUGCAUGGUGGGGGUUGGAAAGUUUCGGCGGUUGGGGAUGGACUCGCGGCUUAUCAGCUUGUUGGUGGGGUAGUGGCUUACCAAGGCUUUGACGGGUAGCCGGCCUGUGAGGGUGACCGGCCACAUUGGCACUGAAAUACGGCCCAGACUCCUACGGGAGGCAGGAGUGGGGAAUAUUGCACAAUGGGCGGAAGCCUGAUGCAGUAAGGCCGAGAGCGGGAUGACGGCCGUCGGGUUGUAAACCACUUUCGCCUGUGACGAAGAGUGAGUGACGGUAAUGGGUAAAGAAGCACCGGCUAACUACGUG
rnacentral:rRNA from 1 species